UCAACAAUAGUUGAACUCUUCUUCCUCUUUCUUUACCACCGUCGGACUUCAGGGCAGGUCCAGUUGGACUUGGUGCUCUGGUUCGAGGAUGCUCCUAGAAAGAGAGCAAGAGGGUCACCAAAAGGGUGAGCAUUCAAUUGGCUUUAUUCGAGUGAUGACUACCAUUCUCUUCCCCGUCUUAUACGACCAUGCAGAGGGAAUAGAGGAGGCUUGUUUCACAAACAAGCUUGCGCUUUAAUGCGCAAAAGGUACCUGCCAGUGCCACUUAGUCUGACGUUUAUAAUGUCCACAUUGUAUGCCACUGUAAGAUCGAUGUUGAUUAAUUGGUAAUUUAUAGAAGCUUGAAGGGUGUAUAAAUCAUGUUUUUAAUAUUGUUAUAAGGUGAGCUUUAUUCCAUUUAAGUUCACUUUAUUAUGUGAUGAAUUAUUGCCAUACAUUCGCAGUUUUCGCCAAAGUGCCCUCCCAUAAAGGGAGUACUCCUCCAAUACAGAACGCUUAUAUUCCCCCUCUAAUGCUGUGUUGAACCCAACCGCACGGUUCGAGUGUGGGCCGCCCUUGUGGUGCGCUGAGCGGGAAGUGGAGGUCGGCACAGUGAGGGGUUUAAAUGACCUUCCUUUGGAUGUCUGAUCUCAUUUCAGUUUCAACUAUUAGAGCACCUACUGACCCCUCUGUUGUUCUAGCUAACGCACUUUCAAGCUAUGUAGUAUUGUCUAAUCAGAGUGGUUUAGAGUCUAACAUAUGUGCUUAUAUACUAUGUUUAAAUUAGAU
rnacentral:misc_RNA from 1 species